rnacentral:rRNA from 1 species
CCCUAUCAUUGAGACGCAGAAGUCUCAAUGUGUUGGAUUUUCCCCCCGCCAAUAGGGAACGUGAG